rnacentral:rRNA from 15 species
GUGGACGCCAGUCUGCAUGGAGCCGACCUUGAAAUACCACCCUUUAAUGUUUGAUGUUCUAACGUGGACCCGUGAUCCGGGUUGCGGACAGUGUCUGGUGGGUAGUUUGACUGGGGCGGUCUCCUCCUAAAGAGUAACGGAGGAGCACGAAGGUUGGCUAAUCCUGGUCGGACAUCAGGAGGUUAGUGCAAUGGCAUAAGCCAGCUUGACUGCGAGCGUGACGGCGCGAGCAGGUGCGAAAGCAGGUCAUAGUGAUCCGGUGGUUCUGAAUGGAAGGGCCAUCGCUCAACGGAUAAAAGGUACUCCGGGGAUAACAGGCUGAUACCGCCCAAGAGUUCAUAUCGACGGCGGUGUUUGGCACCUCGAUGUCGGCUCAUCACAUCCUGGGGCUGAAGUAGGUCCCAAGGGUAUGGCUGUUCGCCAUUUAAAGUGGUACGCGAGCUGGGUUUAGAACGUCGUGAGACAGUUCGGUCCCUAUCUGCCGUGGGCGCUGGAGAACUGAGGGGGGCUGCUCCUAGUACGAGAGGACCGGAGUGGACGCAUCACUGGUGUUCGGGUUGUCAUGCCAAUGGCACUGCCCGGUAGCUAAAUGCGGAAGAGAUAAGUGCUGAAAGCAUCUAAGCACGAAACUUGCCCCGA